rnacentral:snoRNA from 1 species
CUGCCGGGAUGAUCCCCCCGAACUCUCUCUUGCCGAUGCCCCGUGGGGAAACCCUAAAUCAGCCUCUGAGCGGC